UGCACGAAUAACCCUGCGAAAGCAGAGCUAAUACUGCAUGUGGUUGUCGGAUGGCAUCAUCUGACAACUAAAGUCGCAAGACGCUCUCAGAUGGGCCCGCGGCCUAUUAGCUAGUUGGUGAGGUAACGGCCCACCAAGGCUAUGAUGGGUAGCUGGUCUGAGAGGACGGACAGCCACACUGGGACUGAGACACGGCCCAG
rnacentral:rRNA from 1 species